UCAAACAUAUAUACAUGUAUUUCAUACAUAAAAAAUAUUUUUCCGUAAUUUUUCAAUUUCUUUUACUAUUUUUCAAAAAUCAUAAUUAGUGCGUGACUUAAGAAAAUUAGCUACCUCGUGCUUAACUCCAGAGAUGCCCAUCUUUUGACAUAACCUUAUAUAUGUUAACGUGAUGCUCCAUUUUAAAUUUCGUGGCAAUCAGAGUUGUAGAACUCCGGUUAUAGCGAUUUCCGUCGGAAAAUCACAAAAAUUGAAAUGGUCAUAACUUGGUCGUUUUAAGCCGGAAUUAGCUCAUUUUUGGACACGAGGUACUUAAUACCAUAUAUUUUCAUUUUCCAAAAGGCCAGAAUUUAUUUCACAAUUUAAGUUUCCAAAACAGCCCCUACCAUUUCUUGGACAGCAACUUUUUGUCAUAAAACAGUUUAAGAGUCCUUUGCUAAAACUUAUAUAAAACCAGAUCUGUAACUCCGAUUAACGAUCCGUCAAUUUUGUUGGAUUCUUAACUUUACGAACUACAGUUUUCAUCUAUCACAAUCCAUAUUUGGACAUGUUAAGCUCUCGGAAUUUAGCCCGGAAGUGGCUGCUAAAAACUGUUGCUCUAACAGUUUUUCUUACCUUUGAGUAGUUUGGGAGAAAUUUCAUAACUCUCUCCUCCGAUGUCGGAUUUAGUCCGUUUUGGAGUCUAUGGAAAGCUUAUUGAGUGUACUAUAAC
rnacentral:lncRNA from 1 species